rnacentral:ncRNA from 1 species
UGUCUCCUCCAUGUCUCCGUGAUAUGGAUUCGGCCCGCUGAUUAGCGGGCCUUUUGUU